CAUAUCAUUGCUCUUUUACUGAUUUGUCUAGGUUUGUAAGUUUCCAGUAAAUGUAAUAUUCAGAGCACAUUAUCAAUACAACUUUGUGGUGUGUUGUGUAGACUGUGUAACUUACAGUGGUUUCACACUGACGGUGAACAAUGUAGCUUUUAAUGAAAUCCAUGACUCUGAGGAGCCACUUUUGCCUUGGCGUCAGGCGUUUGUUGCCACUCCCACUGGGCUCUGGUUUCAGCAACCUGCAGUACUGGGUUCGUAGGGAUACUGCCCUUGUCUUGACAUCCUCAACUGAAAAGGUAAAACAAGAAAGAAAGUGUUUUGUUGUUAGUUGUUCUGUACUCCAGAAUUGUAUUUGUGUUUUUCAAACCGUCUUUAGAACCCGGAAAUGCUUGGUGGUGCUUGCGGUAUUAUUUCAACUCAAUGAAGAAAUUGUGGGCAAAGAAAUUUAGUUUUUAACCUGUUUGGAACUACCAGCUCUCUGUUCCUAUUUCCAAGAAUCAUAAAUAAUGAAUUUGAUUUGAAUCAGGUAUAACUUUCACCAUUGGCCUACAUAUUUCUAGUCUCUGUCAAAAGCUAAAGAAUAUGAAUAUAUUGUAAAUAAAUGGAGAUGAAAUAAAGGAAAAUAUUAUAUUUUCAUCUACGACUAGAAACAAAUCUCAAUUUCAAAGGCAAUAUCACCAUUACAAUCAUGAUCCUGCAUAUUUUAAUGCAACUUUGACACCACGUGAUGUCGAGUCGGCCGACCGUCCCAGAUAUUUAACAUGCCAGAUAUCUGGAUUUUGUCUGCGAGGUGUCUCCGAGCCUCUUUGAUGCAUCGUUGAGUAGUUCACACAAAGAUUGCUGAGCGCCGAUCACCCGCUGAUUUUCCCACGAUCACAACCCGAUCUGUCGACGAGCUCGUUAAUUUGCAAAUCGGGCUUAAAUCGUGCUUAAAAUCCUGUAGAGUGAACUAGGCUUAACACAGCCUAAUCGAAUAUGAACAUCCUACAGUAUGAACACAUACCCAAGAAUGACAUUUACUGUUUUUUAGUAAAUGGUUUGGGAAUUUUCUGUAUUGCUUCCACUCUACCUGACUCAAGUCUUUUACCUUCUGCAGAAAUUAAAUGUCCUAGGAACUUCACUUCUUGUUGUACAAAUUGCAGUUUUGACAGGCUUGCUUUAUGUCCUUCUUUAGCGAGGUGACAGAGCAAUUUAAUGGUGUCUUUUUCACACCGCUCUUUAGUAGGUGCGGCCAAAAGAAUGUCAUCUACAUACUGAAGCAACACAGAUUUCUCAGUUAGCUGCAGUGUAUCUAAACUGUUCUUUAAUGCUUCAUUAUAGAUUGUAGGUGACUCACAAUAGCCCUGACAUAAACGUGUGAAAGUAUAGGCUUUUCCAUUAAAGGAAUAUGCAACCCAAAAUUGACAAUCUGGAUGUACCGGUACGCUAAAGAGUGUAUUAGCCAUAUAGACAACAGAGAACCAUGCACUGUCAACUGGAAUUUAGGACAAGAUAGUGUAUGGGUUAGGAACAUUAGGUGCUUGUUGGAUUACAGCAUCAUUACCCAUUUCUAAGUCUUGUACGAAUCUCCGCUCCCCUGGAGCUCUUAUUUUCCUUACUGGGAAGAGUGGUGUUCACACAGGAGACAUCUCACAUGGCACUCACAGAUUUUAAUAGAGAAUUAAACACCGGUGUUAUUCCUGCUAUAGCUUCUGGUUUUAGGGGAUAUUGAGCUCUCUUCGGCCUAUAAUCCGAUUUUGGAGGGCAAUUUUAAUCAGCCCUACAUCAUAUUUUCCACUCGCCCACAAUUCCUCGGGCACUUUUUGAAGCCGCACACCUGAAAGUUCCAAUUUAGGUAGGGCCAAGUCGGUUUUGUACCAUGGGUUGGGAUCUGUCAUCAGGAAGGAUCACCACGCCUCUCUCAGCUCUAGCCAGCCAAUUUAGUGCUGUGCUAUAUGGAUUUAAUUUUGGGCUGUAAAGAACAGCUGGCUGCUCAGUUGGUUCCCAAUCAUGACUUUGAGUAGCCUGUAACAUCCAUUCUCCCAAAAAUUCCCACUCGUCAUUGACAGAUUUGGCUAGAGAGAGAUGUGGAGAUCCAUGAUUCAUUUGGAAUGGGUGUGGAUGACCAGCCCGAAUUACCCCGAGAUAAAUCUACCUCUACAGCACAUCUGUGUUCAUUCCAUAUCACACGCUUCAAUAUCAAUAUGUCUGGCCUAUCUAACUUCCUGUACCAUUCUUUCUCAUAACUCUCAUGUGGUUCGUAUCUGUGUAUGUGCGCAGUACAGUGCAGCGCUUUCGGUGUCAUGUAGUCUGUGAGAGAAAAGGAGGUGAGAGUUUUUGCUUUCUCUACUAGAGAGUGUGUGACAUCAGUGAAAGAAGAAUUACUCCGUUUCCAUUCAUACACAUAGAGCAGGGGUCUGGGAUCAUAUUUUACAAAGCAGGAGUUAUCUCCCCAUUCUAUCCUAAGGCCUAGUCAUGUGCUGAUCAAAUUUAUAUUUAGUUUGCAUGUCAAAUCUCGACCCAACAGAUUUAUUGGGCAACACUCAGAAAUUAAAAAUAAGUAUUCAAAUUGUUUCUGUCUACCUACUAUCUCACAUUUUAUGGGCACAGAGAAUGUCUCAAUUAUUGACAUCCCUGAUGCUCCUGUAGUACACAGAGAGUGAUUGCUCAUUCUAGGUGAAAUAGAAAAUUCACACAAUCGUAUCACAGAAUGCCCCGCUCCUGAGUCAACUAGAAACCGUAUGAGCAUUUGCUCAAGAAGUAAUGUAAUCACAGGCAUAUUCCGGUUCAGUCAACGCAAAAUCAACAAAAUCGCAGUUUUCCAGCAGAUUUGGGCCAAGACGUGUUGUAUCACAACAAGCAUCAAGUCAAAGCCCGCUUCGAUUUUUGUGCAUCGAACAUGAGCACAGCCUUCAGUGAAAGUAAUCAUACCUUUGUUUUCACUCUUAGAAGUUUAAAAGGAGAAUCAUGUGUUGUGGGAAAACAAUUUAACAACCAAAUUCAUUAAAACAUUCAAUAACUUAUCAAAAUAUACCUUUGAGCCUAAUGUAACGUAUAGAUGCCUCAGAAAACUCAUACAUAUUAUUUUGUUAAAUUUAUAUGCAGGUACAUAGACAUAUAUUUAAACCUAACAUAGAUCUAUAAUAUUGAUUAUAUCCAAUGAGCGCAAACAGAAUGUCUCAAAAAAUACAAAAUAAAAUCUAUCGCGAUACCACAAAGUCUAAAAGACCAGAAGGGGGGAAAAAAGUACUGGUGCACGUGUUAAAAACUCAAAAUGGCGGCUGAAUACUCAAACUGGCGGCCGAAUACUCAAAAUGGCGGCCGAAUACUCAAAAUGGCGGCCGAACCAAAUAGACAACAUACACUUAAGAAGUGUUAUUUUAAAACACUGGCAAACAAUAAUAUAUCUGACCUGGACUCAGUAUUUCAGUUUGAUAAACAUUUUUCUCAUGUCAAUCAACAAACCAUACAUGACAUACAGUUAAACUCACUCUUCAGCUGCUUUUAUAAUCCUCAGUGAAGUAAAACACUUUCGUUUUGAUUAGACACACUUCAGAACUCACUGUAUUACAUAUUUAGAUACACGUGAGUACAAUGAAGUUAACAUUUUUAAUGAAUUAUAUUCAUACCUGUGAAAAACACAAGUUACAUCUUUCCACAGCGGCAGCCCGAGCCCGCCAACCGGAGAUAAGCAAUUCCCUCGGGUCUUUCAUGGGCGCGUGAUCGCCAUCUAUUGGCGCGGCGGUGUAAUGCCACAAAAGAUAUUUACCUAGAAUUUAUUUUAUUUUUCUAUUUAUCUAGAAAAGUUCUCAUUUUGAGAAAAAAAAGAUGCACACACCCAUACACAUUUAAUUUUGGGGGUGGGAAUUACUGUUUUAAUUAAACUCAGAUUAUAUUUUCUCACCACAUUACAGAUACAUGGUCUAUGUUUUGAGUAUAAUUUCUCAAUACUUUGUUCACCCAUGUAACCAGCUAAGAAUAUAUAGUAUAUCUGCAUUACAUACAGGCCCUGUGCUGAAUUUAUAAACUGCACAGAUGGCCUGUUUGCACUUACAGAGUGCAGUUAGGUCAUUCAAUACAUCUGCUGCAGGCACUGAAAGACAAGAAGGUCCAGGUGGAGGAAAAGAAGCCCCUACACUUCCUUUAUAGGGUGGAGAAACCGGUCCCUCGUCCCCCAACGCCCACGGUGGACGUGCCUCCUGAGGGAGACGAGGAAAAGGAGCUUGCUGUGAUUUUCCUACAGAAGUUGCUCCGUGGCAGAUCCAUCCAGAACCAGAUGCUGGAAGGUCUAGAGAAGCACCAGGAGCUGAUCCAGGAGCUGCGCAUGAACCACACCUUACAGCGGGAGGAGCAAGAACUCCAGAGAGAAGAGAAACAGGUCACACAGGCCCUGCAGAGACAGAUAGAGCAGAGUAAGUACAUAAACAGCCUGUUCAUUUAACACUUUCUCUGUGAGCCAUGCUGCAUGAUGUGCGUGACUGCAACAGUGAAAAGGAUAACUGACCUCUGCUCCAGUUCUAUUUCGUUGCAAAGCAUUCCUGAUCUAAAUUUGUGGGAUAUGACACAAAUACACACCCUCAUAUCUAAGGAUAUGAGGGUGAAAGUAAAAUGUAUCCUCUGAUUUUUAUCACUGCAAGUCUCCAGUCGCUGCACUCACUAGAAUUCGACUUGUCAACAAAUUCGUUUUCUAGUCAAUAAAAUAAAUCAUUUUAUUUUCAUCAUGCUGGAAGUGGUUUGAGCCUCUUAGUUCAAGGAAAAUUGUAAUGCAACAGAAUACAAAGACCUAUUAUACAAAUGUGUGUUUCCAACCUUGUGGCUAAAAGAACCACAUGGAUGUGAUGGUCAGGUGUCCAGAAAUGUUUGGCCAUAUAGUGUAUAGUUUCUAACUGACAUUAUUAUAUUCAUAUAUUUUUUUUCUUGGACACUGUUGUGUUUACUGAACUGUUUUCCUGUGAUAAACAGGUGACAUGUGGAGACUUUUAAAUACCAGAAUCAGCCACCAAAUAAAACAGUUUAUAUAACAACAUGUACAUUUUUAAAGUAAUGUAUAAAUUAUGUAUAAAUUGGUUAUACUACACUUUCUGGUUUCCUGCUUUCUAAUCCCACACCUGAUGCCUCAGGUCUGAUGCCUUUUGAAUAAAAAUGUGAAUAUAUAUGGUUUGAAUUUUCAUGUGCAUGAAAACUAAACAACUUGAGUAACUGCCUGUCUCCUAGAAUCUCCUCCAUGCUCUUGAGACUGUGCUGAGAGACACAGCAAACCUUCUGGCACUGGCACAUAUUGAAGUGCCAUCCUGGAGGAGUUGUACUGCCUGUGCAACCUCUGUAGGGUCCAGGUAUCACCUCAUGCUACUAGUAGUAAUACUGACCCUAGACAAAGCUAAUGCUAAGCUAGUGAAAAACAGUCAAAAAGGAUGAGCAGGGAAAUAAUGUCAGUGGCCUCCACUUGUAAAACCAUUCAUGUUGUGGGGGUCGUCUCAUUGUUGCCCAUCUAGUGCACCUGUUGUUAAUUUCAUUAACACCAAAGCAGCUGAAACUGAUUAACAAUCUCCUCUGCUACUUAACUGACCAGAUCAAUAUCCCAGGAGUUUAAUUGAUUUGAUGCUAUACUCUUAUUUACACAGAACUACAAAUUACAAAUAGAUUUAACUCAUGGCAGAACAAAUGAAAGUGCCACAAUGCUGUAUUUUAAUUAGCCAACUGGCUAGUUCCAUCUGCUGUCACUGGGCAACACAGAUUUUAUGACCAUUGUUACGUGCCUGAUCAAGAAUCAAGACAAAUGGUCUCAAAACCACAUUUGACUAGACUCUCGAAUUAUCACACAGACCUGGUUCUCCCCCGGGGUCUCUUCCCGGUGGGGCAUGCCCGGAACACCACCCCAGGGAGACGUCCAGGAGGAAUCCAAUACAGAUGCCUGAGCCACCUCAUCUGGCACCUUUCGAUGUGGAGGAGCAGCGGCUCUACUCCGAGCUCCUCCCGGGUGACAGAGGUCCUUACCUGUCUCUGGUACCUGUACCUGGGAGUACCCUGCCACCCUACGGAGGAAACUCAUUUCAGCCGCUUGAAUCCAGGAUUGCGUCUUUUUGGUUAUGACCCAAAGCUCAUGACCAUAGGUGAGAACGUAGAUCCACUGGUAAAUCACCACAAUAGACCGGUACAUAGACCGCAUUACUGCUGCCGCUGCACCGAUCCGUCUGUCAAUCUCAUGCUCCAUCCUUCCCUCACUUGUAAACAAGCUCCCUGACCUGCACUCAAUCUACAACAAGCGGUGCUGGACCAAGGCCAGGAAGAUCAUGAAGGACCUCAGCCACCCCAACAAUGGACCUUUCUCCCUGUUGAGGUCAGGGAAGCGCUUCCGCUCCCUGAACACCAACACAGAGAGACUGAGGAGAAGCUUCUUCCCACAGGCUAUACGUUCUCUCAACCAGAACUCCACAUAGGACUCAACUGAUUGGACUUGCAAUGCUUCCUACACACGUAUUGGAAACACCAAACCCUACCAUACAUUUGCACAUUACAGGACUGUGACACACAAUACAUAAACAUAUAUGGCACAUAUAUGGGACAUUCUGGUCCCGUUUAUACACAAAGAGGACUUGUGCACAUCUAUGCUUUAAGAUGGACAAUACCACUGCUUUCAUCAUCUCAUCACCUUAUUUCACUGAAUGACCACCCCAUACUGCUGCUGUCUGCACGUUGCACAUUGUUGCA